rnacentral:tRNA from 1 species
GGGUCCGUAGCAUAGUCUGGUGGUGCGCACGACUGAUAAUCGUGAGGUCCGGAGUUCAAAUCUCCGCGGACCCA